rnacentral:rRNA from 1 species
GACAGAGGGGGCAAGCGUUGCUCGGAAUUACUGGGCGUAAAGGGCGCGUAGGCGGGAUGGCAAGUCGGUCGUGAAAUCCUUCGGCUCAACCGAAGAACGUCGAUCGAUACUGCUGUUCUUGAGGGUUGCAGAGGAGACUGGAAUUCCCGGUGUAGCGGUGAAAUGCGUAGAUAUCUGGAGGAACACCGGUGGCGAAGGCGGCAUCCUGGACCAAUUCUGACGCUGAGGAGCGAAAGCCAGGGGAGCAAACGGG